rnacentral:lncRNA from 1 species
AGGCCCAGAGAGGUUAAGUAAGUUGCGUGAGGUUGCACAGCUGGUAGGGAUGUGGUAAAAAUUUAGCCCAGGCCAACUUUUAACCACCUCAUUGUCCUGACUUCUCAAAUGCUUAAGAAAUUGAAACUGGGUUUCUUUUUUUUCUUUCUUUAUAUCUGUCUUCCCAGAGUAAACUUAGAACAAAAUCACUUCAUACUCAUUAAUAAAUACAGAAAUUCUUAAAGUGGUAAAUAUUCCCAGCUUUAUGAUUUUGAGGUUUUUUUUUUUUUAAAAAAAGCCUUCAGAUUGGCAUAUUAACAAGCAUCUUGACAUGUCUUGCUUUAAUUAUGCUGACAGCUAUUUCUUUUUUGUUUCUAAUGUAGAGGUUGAUCAGGAAAAUUUGUGUUUUAUUGCUUACAGUCUUACCUUAAUGCUACCUAAAUCACUACUAUAUGAUUUGGCAUCUAUAAUUUAUCAUUUUCCUCAGCUAUUAGAUGAAAUGCCCUUUAAAGCAUUCCACAGCAAGGUGAACAGAAGUCAAAGCUUGCAAAGUUCUAGAAAAAAAGAAUUGCAAAGAAUCAUUAAAGAAUAAUGAAAGUUGAUUUAUAUAGCAUACAAUAUCAGGGCUGCCCAGUUUAACAAACAUAAUUAUUCCAAGUCGUUUUCAGAAUGCCUCACAAUUUCAGCACCUAAUUUUCCUCAUCUUUUAAGGAAUAAAAACAGAAAUGCCUUAUUUUUUUAUAAAAACUCUAAAAGCAAAAUCUUUAAUUCAUUUCUCUAGAUUUCACCAAAGCUAAGGCUGCAACAAUAGACGGUUUAAAAUACAGAAAACCCAGAUUCCUUUUACUGUGGUGUGGCUUUAACAUUCUACUGCUGUAGCCAGAAGUCCUUGGCUUCUGGGGCCAACUGCCUUUUGCAUGCUGAUUUUGCAGAGAGAGUCUCUCAGGAGUUAUUACUUUUGAGUAGUAUCUAUGAUGACUUCAGUCUCUGCAGGAAGUGGGAGGUAGCAUAGUUUGGAAAUGAAAACACUGAGGGAAAAAAAUCCCUCCCAGUAGAAUCGUCAACUCAAUCUAAUUUUAGGUUCCAGGCAGACCACAUAGCUAGCUGUACCUUCAGCUACCUACACACGUAUGCCUCUCUGGUGCCCAUCAUUGAAGGCUACAACCAGGACUUAAGGAAAAAUAAAUACAAAAAUAAUUAAGUUUUCUAUCAUAACAUUUUUUAGUAAAAUAGGUGAUGUGUGAGAAUGCCUUGUCUGUGUACCCCCACGUUCAAGUAUUCAUGGUGCUCAGAAUAAGGUCAGUCCAAAAGGGUUUCUUUCUAUUUUUACACAAACUCUAUUUAAUUUUUCCUUUAAACUUCUCACAACAAAAAGGACUGACAGUCCCAGGCUUAAGACCUCAGAAAACCGUAUUACUGAGUUAUGUGAAACAGGAAUACGAGACAUUUUUGAUAAUAGUUUUUACAUGGUAGCUAUUUUGAUAGAGAAACAACUAAAUCAACUCUAACAAAGGUCUUUGGAGAGGAAAUGGUUAAAAGGGCAUGUUUUGUCUUUUCUAAAAGGAAAACCCACAGCAAAGUAUUCCAGUUAGGGAUAAAUUAAAGAGCACUACCCUUUUCUGGAAGGGCCAGGAAGUCAAACUCUUGGCCUUGAGCUGUUUCUCACCCCCACCCAAGCCGACCCUGGGAACAAGCCACUCCUGACUCUGUGUGACCUCAGUAGCUGCUGCCAAACCUUGUCAUUCCUCUGGAGAAAACAGCCAGGGAUUUUCACCAGAGGCCUCCGGCCAGCAUCAGACUCAGGAGAUGGCUCAGGUGCCAGGGGCCUUUCUGUGUGGGCUUUCAUACUGUCUGCAAAGGAAAAUUCACUAAACUCACUGAAGCCAAAUCUGACAUUUUAAAAAGUCUCCAAAAGAAGUUUCUUAAGCUGUUUUGCAAUUAGAAGAUUAAAUUCUCAUUUCCCAGAUUGUUUUCUUAAAUAUAAUUCCUUAAAUUCCGCGGCGAUUUUAAUCCACGACACUUACUGGUAUAUAAGAAAAACAAUUCUGGGAGUUCCUGUAGUGGCUCAGUGCAAACAAACCUAACUAGUAUUCAUGAGGACACAGGUUCGAUCCCUGGCCUCGAUCAGUGGGUUAAGGAUCCGGCGUGGCUGUGGCUGUGGUGUAGGCCAGCAGCUUUAGCUCCUAUUUGACCCCUAGCCUGGGAUCCUCCCUAUGCCAUGGGUGUGGCCCUAAAAAAAAGACAAAAAAAAAUUCUUCUGUUUUCAAAAUCAAUAUAAAGCCUACAGAUGUGACAUCUCCGAAUUUUAUGUUGUGGUUAACUGCCUUAUCCUAACAUCUGAUGAAUGUAUGUAUUUGUAAUGUUCUUUAGAUGACCUAUGCCUCUAACAUGUGGUUAGCUGGGAGACUAGGGCUAUAAGUGAAGUGCCCCAGACUGCUGGGUUUGAUCAAGCUCUCAUGCACUUUUGACCUCUUUAAAAGAGGAUUUUGCUCUGUCGAUAGCAUUUAAAAUUGACUUGUCCUUCAAGGUCUAGCUCAGUUCCUGCCUUCAGCCUAAAUCAUUGCCUGACCAUUUUUUUUGUUUGUUUGGGUUUUUUUUUUGCCUUUUCUAGGGCCGCUCCCAUGGCAUAUGGAGGUUCCCAGGCUAGGGGUGGAAUCAGAGCUGUAGCCACCAGCCUACGCCAGAGCCACAGCAACUCAGGAUCCAAGCUGCCUCUGUGACCUACAUCACAACUCACGGCAACGCCGGAUCCUUAACCCACUGAGCAAGGGUAGGGACCGAACCCGCAACCUCAUGGUUCCUAGUUGGAUUCGUUUCUGCUGCGCCACGACGGGAAGUCCAUUGCCUGACCAUUUAAGUUCUCACUGAGAUCUGCCCUCUGGAAUCACCUAAAGCCCUAUUACCUGUGCUGCUAUUAUGGCAUGUGGCUAUGUCAUCAUACACCAACAUGUAUUCACUGACUUUCAAGGGUCACGUGCUCUCUUUUCAGCUACCUACAUGGCCACCUAGCAUGGUGCUGGGUACGUGUGGAUGCUCCAUGGUAGAGCUGAGUCAAGUGGACUUAAUAGUCUUUUUCAUCAUUUCCCCUAUGGGCAAUAGAAUUUGCAUUAUUUUUUUUUUAUUUUUUUCAUUCACUGUUCCUUAGUAACCCAGAAGCAACUAGAAUGAGCUGCACGUUAGACAGUUCCUGGAAUAGGUUGGUCACUUGUGUUUUUUGGCUUAAAUGUCACUGCUCUGUCUCCUAUGGAAAAUGGGAGACAAAUUGCAUUCCUUGUGAUUGCAGUCAUUAGGGAAUUACCAGUGAAUAUAAAGAGAAAAAAUAAGCUAAUGGAAAAAAGAAAGAAAAGAAAUAGGGAAAAGGGUGAGAGGAAAAGAGAUGGAGAAGAGGCAAAGAACCACCCCCCCAAAAAAAACGGUAAGCCUACUCUCUGAUGUAAAUAAUGUUUCCUUUUUAAAUGACAAAACAUAAAGACUCCUUGCAAGUGCAUUUAAUGGCUGAUUCCUUGCACAUCUUAAUACUGUCUGCUCUUUGGGGAAUCGUAUGCAGAAAGAACUGCCUUUCCAGUUGGAAUUAGGAAUCAACUGGAAAGGCAGUUGCUCUAGGAGAAAGUAAAAGCAAAGCCUAGUAACACUGGUGCAUUGUAUGCGGCAGUAAGAAAAUGACAACUCAGAAUGAAGCAGACUUCUCUCUAUGUGAUCGGCUGGCUCUGCCCUCAAUGAGUCCAGGAGAUUUCGCCUUUUAUAGGUUGAGCUUCCCACUGGCAGCAACUAAAGCGGUUCAUUAUGCACAUCUGUCACGUGAUCCACUUCAUCAACCAAAUGGAACUGGGAGAAUAAGUCACCCUAACAAGAUCCUUCAGUGCAUUCCUAAAAACUACUUACAGAUGUACUCUUCCUCUGAGGGGAUACAAUGAGUUUCCUUGUACGGUGCUGCAUGAUACAGGAAGUGUAUUAUCCCCGUCCAAAUUCAGCCAUACCGGGAGGAAGCACGUGAAAAGAAAGCAGCUCACAAAAGCACACGCAGCUUUUGCAAAAGUCCUGAGAGGGGCUCAUACACCAAUUUAUGAUAACGGCAGAUAAAAUCCCAGGCCUCUGAAGCUCAGUUCAUUACAAAUGCUAAUGUCCACACAGGGAGAGCAAACCACAUCAGCAUUCAGCAUCAACACAAACCCCGAUAAUGCCUUUUAUUUAUGGUUGUCAGCCGAGUCCCCUCAGCACUGUGCCAGAUCUCCAUUCGUGCUGUAACUUUCACUCCUUUAUGUGCUUUCAUGACUAGCUAGGUUAUGUACCCAUAAGCGAUUUGUGCUUUCAAACUGUGCCUGGCGAGAUAAGCAGCCACACAUCCAAUCUUGAAAUCAGGAAUGAUUUUGUUCACAUUCAGAUCAGGUAGAGUGAAUGAUUUUGUCGAUGCAUCCAGGAAGAGUAAAGCCUGCCAUUGUUAAAUCUCCCCGUUUCCGUUGUUGUGAUCAAUUCAUCAUUCAUCGGAGCAGCCAGCAGAUAUUUACUGAAUACCUACUGUGUGCCAGGCACUGUUCCAGGCAUUGGAGAUCUACCAGUGAACAGAGUUCUACCAUCAAAAAGAUUACAUUCUAGAAGGGGGGGGGGGCAUAGGGGAGACAGCAAAUAAAUAGGUAAUAUGUCAGAGUGGGGCAGUUGGGACAGGCUAGUUAUUCUGUGGUAAUAACCCAAUAUCUCAGGGGCUUAAAACAACAAAGUUUAUCUCUCACUUACUCUGUGUUGCAUGCAGGUUGGCUGGGGGCUCUGCUCUGUGCAGCGUCACUCUGGGACCCAGGCUGCCCGGAGAAGCACCAUCUGGAGCAUGGCCAAUCUCUGCGGGAGAGGGAGAGGACAGAGGGGUGACCUGUGCGCUGGCUUCCUCCUGAAAGUGACACAUGGCCCUUGUCUCACAUGGCACUGGACAAAGCAAGUCACAUGGCAGUACGUGACUUCCAAAGGUAACGGACCUGCCUUGGCUGCAACAACCAGUGCUGGACCACCAUCCUACACAGAUACCCCUCUUACCCCACCUUGGCUCUGAAAUCUCCUCUUCCUCCUGCCUGGACUCCAGCAUCUCACACCCCCAUCACCCGACAUGGGGUCUGAAACCCAUGUACCAGGCUGCACCCUCUGCUGAGCCAUCCCCUCAGCAUACGUUGGCUCUGACCCUGAGCCAAGCCGACCCUCUGCAGGGGUCCCUCUGCUCCUGCUUGGGCCCAAUACCCACACAGGGCUCUCUCUCCUGAAGAUGCCCUCCUCACUCCACUUUUCUGGUGCUCUGAUGCUUUAAAGAUUUCUGUUACCGAUGUAUACAAUAUCAAUCUUUCCUCAAACUAGAGAAGUUUGUGCUUUUCUUUUUUUAAAAAUUUUAUGGCCACACCCACAGCAUAUGGAAGUUCCCAGGCCAGGGUUUGAACCUGAGCCAUACCUGUGGCACCACUGGAUCCUUAACCCACUGUGCUGGGCUGGGGAUAGAACAUGUACCUACACAGUGACCUGAUUCUUAACUCACUGACUGCACCACUGCAGAAGCUCCUGUGCCUGCAGUCUUUUUUUUUUUUUUUUUUUUUUUAGGGCCACAUUCCGGCAUAUGGAAGUUCCUAGCCUAGGGGUUCAAUCGGGGAUGCGGCUGCUGGCCACAGCAACAAGGGAUCCAAGCAGAGUCUGGGACCUACAUCACAGCUCACGGCCAUGCUGGAUCCUCAACCCACUGAGUGAGGCCAGGGAUUGAACCCGAGUCUUCAUGGAAACUAGUCAGAUUUGUUUCCACUGCACCAUAACAGGAACUUGCCUGUGCCUGUAUUCUUGAUAGUCCAUCAGUAAUAUCAUGUUUUCAUUUCAAUGAUGAUCUUUAAAAAACUUACAUAAUAAAAUAUAAGCUUAUCUGGGAUGUUCAUUUUAUAAGACAUACUUUUAGUGUAGGUAUUUUAUGCUGAAAAUUGUGUUGGUAUCACCUGGUUGUUAAUGUGGCAGUAUUUAACUUUUAAAGUGUUGGGACUUUAGAUUGGCAUUCCUGACAUCAAGAAACAAAAUGCAUCUUGAUUUCUGUUUGAUAAACAUUAUAUCAAGUUAUCUGACAAAUUACAAGGGUAAAACUGCUUUUCCAGUGAUGAGAUUUAUGUCUUAAUUUAUUUAAUAAAUUAAUUUUGACUUUCCAUCAAUUUUGACUUUCCAUCAUAAAAAUAACCAUGCUGCUUUAAUUGCCACAGGCUAAUGAGAAAAGAACCGGGCUGGCUGACUUAAUACACAAAUGAUGCAUUCAUGCAAAGUGAAGGCCAAAUGAAUCAUGGCACCAGAAUAAAUGAAGCCUUAUAGUAGUUCAAAUACAGGAAAGCGGAGAGAAAAUUGAGUCAUUACAGGUCUCUUGGUACCAUAGGUUGAACUGAAAGGAAGCUAGGCAGAGCAGUCACUUUAUUCGGAUUAUUGGCAGAUGUGUUUGUGUGUGUAUUGUGUGUAUUUAUAUGACAUACUAGCUGGCAAAUAUUCUCCAUGAAGAACUUCAGUUGGGAGCUUUUAAUAAUUAUCAAUAUUAUAUUUUGGAGAAAACCAUUUUAAAAUGAGUUUGGCCAAUUAAAAUAAUCAACUGGUGGUUUCAAAUGAGUAACCUGAUCAGAGGAAAAAUUAUUGUAGUUACAAUGAUUAUGAAUCAAAGGAUUUUCCGUCAUGCUCAAAAUCAAAUAUUUAGGUCAACAAUUGAGACAUUAAAUGCAUAAAAGUGUAAGUUUACACAUUUUAAUUACAUGCAUAUUUACAUGUAUAAAUUGUAAUUUAUAAUUACGUGUAAAUUGUAAUUAAAUCCAACAUUGGCUACUUAAUUUC